UACGUAGGGGGCGAGCGUUGUCCGGAAUUAUUGGGCGUAAAGAGCUCGUAGGCGGUUUGUCGCGUCGGCCGUGAAAACUUGGGGCUUAACCCCAAGCCUGCGGUCGAUACGGGCAGACUUGAGUUCGGCAGGGGAGACUGGAAUUCCUGGUGUAGCGGUGAAAUGCGCAGAUAUCAGGAGGAACACCGGUGGCGAAGGCGGGUCUCUGGGCCGAUACUGACGCUGAGGAGCGAAAGCGUGGGGAGCGAACAGG
rnacentral:rRNA from 1 species